AAAAACUUAAAAGUAAUUAGACUAGAAUGAUAUUUAUGCCGCCUCCAUAUGAGAUAGGCUAAUACACCAACAAAAUUAAUAUAAGAAUAAUAUUGGGAAGAACUCAUAAAUGGACUAGUCGAACAUAUCAAUAUUUUAAAAAUUGGGUCGAACAGUAAUCCAAAAAUAUUACUGGAUCAAAGGUCACUAGUUCGACCAGUUGAUAAAUCAUUGGUUGAACCAACGCCAUUGGUUCAACCAGUGACAUCAGCGUGACAUAAUAAAUAUUUAAUUAUUAUUUUUAAUUAUAGAUAUAUAUUGUUAUUAUUAUUUCUAGUAUUAUAUUUAACUAUGAAAUAUUAAUUUCUAGACCAAAUUAAAUAAAAAUAAGUUUUCAAGUUUCACCUUUUAUAAUAUUAAUCUGUACUAAUAGAAAAGAAAAUCAGCUAAGUUGAUUUCAAACUAUUGGAUUUUAUUAUAAUUUGAUAAAAAAAAUUUCAGUAGGCGUGAUUAAAACCAUAUUGGUUCACCAGUUCAAUAGUUGAAUUGUUGGUUUGAACAAUUCAAAAUAAUUUUUUGACUUAUCUGAUUCAAAUGGUUGAACUAAAUUGCUUUAUAUAUUGGAUCACGAUCGUAUAGGCCGUGACAGGCCGAUUCGACCCGAUUUUUUAAAUACGUAAAAAAUAUAUUCCAACAGUUGAGAGGUGAAAAAGCAAAAGCCCCAUGUUCUAAAUAUCUUCUACACUUUUGCUACUUUAAUACUUUGUAAAUAUAUAUUUUUCAAAGUUUUUGGGUCAAUUUCAUUUGUGCCCCUCUAAACUUCAAAAAUAUCAUAGAUGCCCUAUAAAUUUGAUUAUAUCACAAUUAUCCCUACAAAUACUUAUUAUUUUUCAAAUAUACCCAUACCUUUACUAUUCAUCUCUUUAUAGAAUGAUAAAAUAUUUAGAUUAUCAUAAAUAUGAUCGAAAUGUCUAUUUUGCCCUUAACUUCUAAAAUUUUUUACAAAAGUAUUUUAGCAUGAUAUAUUUAUUUUAAAAUAUUAAAAUAAACAGUAAAAUAUAUCAUUUUACUGCUGUAUGGUUUAUAAAAUAAGAUACUUUAUAUCGUUUAUUUUAAAAUUCGAGAUGUCAAAGCACAGAAAUUUGUGCUAGUUCAAAUAACUUAAUUCACAUCAUGCAUAUAUAUUUAAGUUAUAUUUUGAAUAAACUAUUUAACCUAAUUUUAAUGAGCCAAUUGAUACUUUAAACAAUUUUUUGCUAAAUUUUUUUCAAAAUUUUUGAUUUUUUUUAUUUUUUAGCUUAACUUGUCAAGAUUAUAUAUAUUUUUUUAACUGACAAAAAAUUUAUUUCUAAAUAUAGGUUAUUUAUAAAUUUAAAAGAGUGUUUAUAAAACUAUAAAUGAUUUUAUAGUCAAUUAGAUAUUUUAAGAUGGUAAUGACAAUAAGGGCAAAGUUGGAAUUUUGUUUGUUGUUUAUUCAAAAUUGAUAAUAAAUUAGUGUGAAGGUUAUUUUUGAAAGUUUCUCUGUUUUAAAAGGUUACUUUUAAAAUGUUAUUUAUGAUAUUUUAAUUUUUAUAGGGGCAUUUAUGAUAUUAGACUUAUUUGGAAGGGUAGUGAUGAAAUUUUCCCUUUUUUUAACUAAUCAAAGAUCAUCAUAUUUCACUUUAUACUAUAUUGCCUUACCCAUUUUGUUGUUCUUAGUUAAAACAAAAAAAUAAAAAUAAAAAAAUAAAAAAAAAAUAAAUUAGAACAUUACAGAAAGAAUCAAAGCGAAUCAAAUGUGUCUAUAAUUCGUGCACGAAAAGCAAUGGAGCUCGACGUUGCCACUUCCAUUGGGUGCUACUACCUAUCCUUGUGAGAGCAAAAUAGUCAUUAUACUAAAAUACAGUGAAAAACUUUGAUACUAAAAUAGAGCACCUAAUCAAAUAUUUAGGUAGCGUUUGGUUCGGGAACAAAAGGGGGAAUAAGCUCUUGUUCCUUCCUUCGUUUUUAAACGCUGCGUUUGGUAUCCGAGAACAGUAGCUCUCGGGUUUUUGAAAUAAACCGGUAUAAGAUUGGAACUGUUAUUCCACCUUUUUCUUGGAACAAGCUUGUUACCAGGUGAGAAUAAGAUAAAUUAAAGUGUAAAAAUAAUUUUAAUUAUGAUAUUAAUUAAUUUAAUUAAUAUAUUUAAAUCAUUAUUUAUUGCUUAAAUAAUAAAAUAAUUUAUUUCUUUAUUAUUUAUAAUUAUUAAUAAUUACUUACUAAUAAUUUAUUAUUAAUUAAUAAUUUACUAUUUAUAAUUAUUUAUUAUUUAUUAUUUAUUAUCUAAUUAAUUUUUUAUUAAUUAAUUAAUUUAAUUAUAAUUUAUUAUUAUUUAAUUAAUUUAUUAUUUAUAAUUAUUAAUAUUAAUUUAUUAUUAUUAAGUAAUAUUUUGAUUUAAUUAAUUCAAUAAAAUAAUUUUAAUUUAAAAUUAUAACUCUUUUUUUUUUUUUCCAAUCUAACCAUCCAAACACUAUUUAUCUUAUUUUUUAGAACAACCCAAUUUUUAUCCAAAUACAAAAUUGGUCUACUUCCUGCUUAUAUUGAACUUGUACUUAUCCCUGAAAUAAGCAAUUCUUAUUUAUACCCGAACCAAACGCAGUCUUAGGAUUAAAUGCAUUAAACCAUUUAAAUUUCUGCCAAUUUACAUAUAGCCAACUAAACUUUAAAAAUAUAAUAUUUUUUAUUGGAACUUAAUUUCAAAAUUUUCGAGUUAGAGUUAAUGCAUGAGAACAACUCGACCAUUCGAUAUAUUUGCAAAUAGCUAUCUAAAAUUUCAAAAUUUCAUAUUUUCUUAUCUUAACUUCCAAAAUUUUACAUUUGUAACUAAUGUUAGCCAAAUAAUCAAGAAAGAAUAACAGACACAUGCCGAUAAUAUAUACAGAAGGAUCUUUAUGACGACAAAAUUUAGUCUUAUAGUACGUAAAUUAGUUUUUAAUUAGUUUAUCUUUUUACAUUCUAAUAGUCACCUUAAAUUGAUGGAAAAAAAAUAUAGGUAAUUAUUGUGAAAUUUGUAAGUUUAGGUGGUGAAUAGAUAUGAAUUUAUAACAUUCAAAUGGCUAUGUGCAAAUGGUGCAUAAUUAAGGUGGUUUUGGUGUAUUUAACUCUAUAUUGCGUUAGAUAUAAUUAUUAUAAUGAGCAUUUUUUGAUAGCUUAAGUUUUUAGAGAUCAGAUGAUUAUUUUCUAUAUUUUACAAAGUCCUAGAUUAACAGGUCUUGAGUGGGUAUUCCACUAAACCCAUAGUUCUAUUUAUUUCCUCCCGUUUAAUUUAAAUUUAUUUGUUGGACCUGUCAAAACGGUUUCGAGCUCGAGCUCAAAUGUGUAAAACAGUGUCGAAUAUAAUUAUUAACAAUAUUAUUCUUUAUUAGCUUAAAAUAUUUGGAGACAAACAAUAUUUUAUAUAAUUUAAUCUGAUAUCAGAUCAGAAAAUUCUAAUUGAAAAUUUGUACCAAAAGAUCGGAUAAGUCACUUGGACGAUUCUGAUUGGCCCAAUAAUGAAGUGAAGGUACUAUCAAAAAUCUGGGGGCAAAUUAUAAGUUAAAGAAGAUUCCCUUUUAAAAAUAAAAACAAAGAAGGUGAUACAAGCUGUGAACUUUCUAAAGUUUUUUUUACUUUCCUUUUCUUUUCUUUUUUAAAUGUAACUUGACUUUGCAAAGGAUGAUCGACCGUCCCUUGAGCAAGUGGCAAAAGGUUUAGUGAUUGGUACUCGAGAUCCAAGUUCGAAUCCUACUUGAUUCACAUUUCAAGCUAAUUUUAUUUCUAAAUGAAAUAAACAAAGCGGGUAGCGUGCUACCUAUCUGUCAAAAAAAAAAAAAAAAGACUUUGCAAAGGAAGAUGUGAAUCUUCAAUUUGACUUGGCAAAGAAAAAUUGCAAUGUUAGCCCCUAAGCUUUUGUCUGAUUUUCAUUUUAUUCCUCAAAAUUUCAUGCUCAAUGUUGGCGGACCUCAAGCUAUUAAAAGGGUUCCACUUUAGUUCUUGGGUAUAUCUACUAUCUAAGGGCAAAUUUGUCUAUAUCUAGUGCAUUUGUAUAUUUUUGUACCUAUCCUAACUUGUAUUUUUUUAAUUUUUUAAUUUCAAAAUUCAAACUAAUGAAUUUACAAUCUUCUUUUCUGUACAAAAAUUGGACCGUUGAAUUUGAUGAGAUGGAUAAAAAACUAAGGAAUUUAUGGUAUACAGAUAGAGUGGCGGAUUCACUAUUAUCUCAAUGAAGUCUACUAAUCCCACUGAGAUAGCCAAUCAGUCAGGUUUUAUGUCUUUCUUUGACGUGUUGACGCGACUUUACGAUCAAAGUUGAUUCUAAAGUGGAGUCAACAAAUAGAUAGAUAAUGACUUUCUUUCACUACAAAAAAAAGAAAAAAAGGGAGAGGCUUGAUGGUUGAUCAAAUUCAAUCGAUCCGGCAGAAAGAAUUUUAUAAAAAAUAAAUUGCGUAAUUAUAUAUGUGAUCAAUCAAUAAACGAUUAUUUUGUGACUUUUAUAAUAAAAAAAAAAUAGUCGACGAUGAUGCUAUCUAUAUCGUUUUCAGAGUAUGAAAACACGUUGAGAAUAAUUGUUAAUGGAAAUAGUUCAUUUUUUAUUUAUGUAAUAUUAAUGAGUAGUUUACUCUUUUAGUUUAUGUUUUUAUAUUUUCUCUUCAUUAUAUAUUUGACCCCAUUAAGAAAAUUUUUUGGAAUCGCCGUUGUACAGAUAUAUAGAUGAACUAGGUGCAUGGAAACAAGAAGUUUUACACUAAGAUAGGGGCUAAAAUGAAACAUUGUUGCAAGUUAGGGGACUAAAAUAAAAUGUUAAUGAAAGUCCGCGUCCGGAUCGUGAACGUCGAAUUUUAAGUUUAAGGACUGAAAUAAACUUGACAUAAAGUUCUUGGACUGUCCUAAAAGAGUUUAUUUUAGUCCCUGUACAUAUUUACUAUAUUUACUAUUCAAGACAAACUAUUAUCUGCACAUAGUGCAUAUGGAGUUGAGCUAGAGUACUCUCAAAAGCAUUGAGGGGUUGGUGCUUUUGAGUUUUUAGCCACUGGAUGGUGAGAUGUAGGGUUGAGAUGAUGAUAGUAGAUGGUGGUAGGUGGAAUAGUAUUUGAUCCAAAGGUUAUUAAUAAUCAAAUAGUAGAUCCAAGGGCUAGAAACUCAAAAGUACCAAGGGGUUGGUGCUUUCGAGAGUAUUCUAGCUCAAUUCUUGCAUAUGUAUAUUUAUUGCAUUAUAUAUUUUGACUCUGCUAUCCAUUCAUUAGCAAUCUUUUCAUUAUUGAGAAAUUGGAUUGAUAAAUAGAAAAUAUAUAUUGGAUGAAAUAUCAGUAGAAUUUAUGAUGUAUGAACAUAAGAUAAUCACGUUGUGACACGCUCAGGAUUUAAAAUAGUAGGAUUUGAAAUAGUUCUACAUAUGAGGUAUAUUAAAACUAAACCUCUUAAUACGGCUAUAAUAUUUUGAACGAUAAUUAAGCCCAAAAGAUUAAUACAGUUAAACAUACUAGAACUAGAAUAGUUCUAGAAUAGAUGACACAUUGAAAAGUAGAGCCUUACAGUCAGUAUUAGAGACAAAAACCAGCCGAAAGUAGCGGAGUCUGAAAAUGACAGUUUGAGUCAGGGUGAAAUAUAACAUGACUAAACCUCUUAAUUAAUACGGCUAUAAUAUUUUGAAUGAUGCAUGGUUAAGUCCAAGAGAUUAAUACAGUUAAAUAUGCUAGAACUAGAAUAGUUCUAAGAUGGAUGACUUCCUAGGAAGUGGAGCGUUAGAUUCAAUAUCAGAGCCAAUCACUAAUCGGAAGUAGCAGAGUCUGAAAAUGACAAGUUAAGUCAAGGUGAGAUAUAACAUGACUAAACCUCUUAAUCCGGCUAUAACAUUUUGGACAGUGAUUAGAUCCAAAAUAUUAAAAGAAUUAAACGUGUUAGAACUAAAGUAAUUCUAGAAUCGGUGAUUUCCUGAAAAGUGGUAGGAGUGUCAACGACCCCAAUACGAGCGAGCUGGGGCUGGCUCGUGAAUAAACGAGCCGAACACGAGCUAACUCACGAGUUUGCCAAUGAACAACAAGUUAAGAGGAUUAUAUUGGAUAUAUAUAAAAAUUAAAUUUAUAAAAUCUUAUCCAUUAGACUUUGAUCAAAUGGUUGAAACUUUACAUAUAAAUGAGACUUUUUAUAAUUGAGCCCGACUUUAUAUUUUUAUUUUGCUAAAAAUAAAAUAAUAAAAAUAUAUAUUAUAUAUAUAAUUAUUUAUAAAUAUAUAUAUAUAAAUAUAAAUUAAAUAAAUUAUAUAAAUAUAAAAUAUAUGUAUUCGAGCUGUUAUCGAGCCGAACAAGAACGAGCUGAUCCUAACUCGUGUUCGGCUCAUUUAUUAAACGAGUUGAAAAAUUCAGCUCGUAUUCAGCUUGUUUACUAAACGAGUGAUUCGAUCUCGAGCUCAUUUCGAGCCGAGCACGUGCUGGCUCGCGAACAGCAAGCUGGAUUGCCACCCCUAGGCGUCCCACAGGUGCAAGUGAUUAUUUUCCCCUGAAGGUAAGAACGAUAAGUGAAUAAUUUUGUAAGUUUUGGAUUUGCAAAUUCGAAUCCAAAAGCCUGAGGACGAAAAUGAAAGAAGAGUGAGAGUUCAGGGACUAGUGAUGCAAUUUACCAAUCAUAAAGAACAUUCAAGAGUCGUAUUGUCCUUUUCCUCAAAAGCUUUUGUUAAGAUAUAUAAUUAUAGUUGGAGAUUAGUAAAGAGACAAAGUGAUGACACCGCAUUUUGGUAAGUGGAGAAUUAACAACGAAGCGACUAGUGGCCACUUAUAAAGUGCAAGUUCAAGUUUGACCUCGUCAGCAACUGGUGAAAUAUCUUGCAUUCAUCAAAAUAUAUUUCUUUUACAACAUAUUCUUUAACAAAUAUCUGGGCUUGAGAUAUUUUGCAAGGCUAUGCAAUGAACAUAAAUUUAAAAAAAAAAAAAAGAGUUAAAUAAUAUUAAAAACUAGAUAAGAUUAGGGAUCCCAACGGGUAUGGAUACCCGAAAUAUUAUCUGAACCCGAAUCUGAACCGGACGGGUUUAUCCGAAUUGUCAGAUGUGACUCGAAAUCUACUAUCGUUUCAGGUUCGGGUUUACGACUCGCCGAUAGCUUCGCGGUGCGACCAAUUUGGAAAAGAAAAUUAUGGGGGAAAAAUGAAUGUCUGUGGUGGGUAGCGGAGUCGGCCCGAGCCCGUAGCCCACCACUGACAUUCGCCCGAGGGUGCGGGGGGCGGUACGGAUCGGAUCCGAAACCCGUUAUGAGUUUUUUUUUUCGUUUUUGCCCUAGAGACGUGUGAUGGUGGUUGGUUGUAAUUUGAAGAAAUUCAUCAUUUCGUUUCCGUUUGUGCGUUUGUCGUAACACGAAUUAAACGGAUAUGAAUUCGGUUAUGAGUAUAAAAAAUAAAAAUCCAACGGAUAUUGAUACGGGCAUGGAUUUUAUAUUUACCCGACUCGAACCCGAACCCGAAUAAAUUAUAUAUAAAAACAUAAUUUAUUUUUAUUUAUUUAUAUAAUAUAUUAAAUAUUUAAUAAUUUUUAUCCUUUAGAUCUUCAUCCAACGAUAUAAGUUUUUAAAACCCGCCGGGCUCAGGUCUGGGUUUAGAUUUUAAUUUGGUUUUCGGAUUCGGUUUCGGAUUUUUAAAAAUUCGAUCCAAAUCCGACCCGUCGAUAUCCCUGGAUAAGAUCAUAAGACAUCCUAAAAACUUCUAGAUAAUUAUAUUUUAAUAUUAUAUAUUCAGCAAACUUAAAUACUUAUUUUCGGUUACAUUAGUUCCGAGUGAAAACGCCAGUAAUAUUUAGUAUUCUAUUUUAGAAAAAUGAUCCCGCAGCAGUGAGCACUAUUUUCAUCCAAUAUUUGUUUGGGAACACAAAAUACCCAUACUUAAUAUUAACUUUUUUUACAUAUUUAUUUAUUAUUAGCAACAUGCAUGUUAUUCUACACACACCAAAAAGCAUUGCAAACUAACCAAUAAUCAAAAAAAUAAUUAAGUCCAUUUAUUCGUGGGCACAAUCAAUCACACAAAAUUUGUGUUUAAAGAAAUAAUGAUGCGGUAACAAAAUUUAAUUAGUUAUAUUCUAGGACCAAUUAGAUUCCACUGUGUCAAAAUUUUGGGCCCAAAUUAUUUAGGACUAGGUUAUUAGGUCCAAAAUUACAGAUAAUUUUGAAUAUAAAGCACUAUUUAUUAUGUGUUUGAUUUGUUAAAUUUUAGUAAUUCAAUAGCGAGAAGAAUCAUAAAGAUAGACGAGGAAUUAAACAUAAGUAUAUUUUAGAAUUUUAAGUUUCUAAUAUUUUAAUUUUACAAUGAGUGCUGCCACAUGUACCCCCCAGUGCAUUCUAGAACAUCUAUUAACCUAAAUGAAACAACAAUGUUUCUUACCACGUGACAAGAAACUAUUCAUUCUCAUAAUAAUAAUAAUAUAUAAUAUAAUAUAAUAAUCUAUUAACCCCUCUCCUCCCCAACUAUACGUAAUGUUUCAUCAAAUCUAAUUUUUUUUUUUUUUUUUGUAAUAACUCUCUCCCCUCCCCACCCCCCCCCCCCCUCCUUUCCCAACUAUACGUUCUUGGCCAUAAACCCCUUCCCCUCCCCUCUCCUCCCCAACUAUAUAUUCUUGGCCGUAUAGUAUAUGAUUUAUUAAUGUUUCAUCAAUUAUUUGUAUAUUAAUGUUUUAUCAAUUAAUGAUAAUUAUAAUCAUAAUUGAUUACUAGACCAACUUUAAAUACGUCUUUGCCUUUUCGUAGCCACCGUUUCAUUCUUUCAUUUUGCUUAUUUUUUAUGAAAUUUUAAAAUAUAUUUACCUAAUAUGUAAAAUAAUUAAAUUUUAAAUUUAAGCUCUCAGUAUCAAUCAUUAUAAGAUUAAUUCUAUUUGAAUGUUCUCGCGCCGAUCCUCCUCUACACAUAUCGCCUUUGCAAUCUCCAUGCCACCGAUCCCAUUCGUCAGUAUUUUUUUUUUCAAAAAUAACAAUUUUUUAUAUAGAUUUGAGUGAUUUGGCGAAAAUUAGCAACAUUUUGAGGUUAAUGAGAUUUUUUUUGGUUCAUGAGCGAUUUUGCAUGAAUAGGUGACAUUUUGAAAUGCUAUAUAUUAUAGAAAUAUUAUAUGUUACUUGCACAAUUAUUGUUCGUACUAUAUUACACCUUCCAGACUAAAUGAAUGAACAAUUUAUAUUAUAUAUGUUAGUAUAUUUCUAUAUACUCUAAUUAGGAUUUACUUAAAAUAUUUUUUUUCCUGUUUCAUCGAUUGUUAUAUAAUUGUCUAUAUUGUACCCUUUUUGACAUACUAAUAUUUUAUUUAGUUAUAUUAAUAUUUUAUUAUUUAUAAAUUUUUUACUUUAGCAGUAACUAGGGGUGGCAAUCCAGCUCGCUGUUCGCGAGCCAGCUCGUGUUCGGCUCGAUAACAACUCGAUUAUAUUUAUUUUAUAUUAAUAUAAUUUUAUAUAUUAUAUAUAUAAUUAUAUUUGUAUUAUAAAUGUAAAAUACAGAUUAUUAAUUUUAAUUUUUAGCCCAAUUUUAUAAAAAAUUCAGCAUAUUUAUAAAAGAGGCCCAUAGGCCCAUAGGCCCAUUUAUAUUUAGAGUUGCUUAUUUUCACUCAUGGCCCAUGGCCCAUUGGCCCAUGAAAUAAGUUCCUCUUUUUAUUCCUCAAGGGCCAAAUCACCUCUCUCUUUCUCUCUCUCUCGAGGGUGCUCCAGAGCGAGCAGCCAUGGGCUGCGGCGGAGGCGGAGGCGGUGGGGGGAUGCUGCAGCGGCGGAUGCGGCGGCGGCGGCAGAGGUACGCGGUGCUGGUGUGCACGGAGGAGGAGCCCGAGCACGUGCGGAAGGCGCACAGGGCUACUUCGGCAUCUUCCCGAAGCUCCUCGGCGACCACAACAAUGGCGGCGAUGACAAUGGUGAGGAGGAGGAGGAGGAGGAGGAGGUGUGGGUCGCGUAUAGGGCGGCGCGAGGUGAGCUCCCCCAGGAGGAGGGGGGUUUCGAGGGUUUUGAGGAUUACAAUGGGUUCGUGGUGACGGGGAGCUGCAGCGACGCCCACGACGACGAUCCUUGGAUCCGCGACCUCGUCCGCUUCCUCCAGAUGCUCAUCGCCCGCCACAAGAAGGUGCUCGGCAUCUGCUUCGGCCACCAGGUACGAGCUAAUGAGCCGAACACGAGCCGGCUCGAUUAAGUUUCGAGCCGAUUACGAGCCAGAGUUUUCGAGCUCGUCACGAGCUCGAGCCGAACACGAGCCGACCUAGAAGACAACGAGCCGAGCUCGAGCUGGCUCCAGCUCGCUCGAGCUCGGCUCGUUUACAGCCCUAGCAGUAACUACCUGUCGCAUCGCGCGGGUAGCUACACUAGUAUUGAUAAUAUGACAAAAUCAUUAUCACACUGUAAUCAUUAAAUACUAAACCCCAAAUACCAUUAUUAAACCCUAGAUACUAUCAUUAUAUCCUAAAUCCUAAACCCUAAGGCUGCGUUUGGUUCGGGUAUAAGUAAGAACUGCUAGUUCUAGGGAUAGGUACAAGUUCAGAUAUAAGCAGGAACUAGACCAAUAUUGCGUUUGAAUGAAAAUUAGGUUGUUCCUAGGAAUAAGGUAAAUAGUGUUUGGACAAUUAGAUUGGAACAAGAGGAAUAAACGUUAUAAUUUGAAAUUAAAAUUAUAUUAUGUAAUUAAUUAACAUAAAAAUUUUUGAAUUUAGUUAAAAAUAUGACCCAACUAUAUGAACUAAUAAUAUUACCUUAUUUUUAUAUAUGAAUAUGAUUCAUAUUAGUCAUGGACAUGGCACCUACCUUAAAAGUUCUCCAUCGAGAUUGCUGCAUAAGAUCCUAAUGAUGGUCAUUCGUCCUGAAGUUGACUAACGACUAGCACUGCAUAAGAUGAUUCAAUCUGAUUUCCAUUCCAUUCUGAGUAUAUCACUAUAAACUACUUGAAAUUAUUUUCUAAUCGCUUAGGUUUCGUGCCCAGAUCCUUUGCAAUUCAAGAAGAAUGAGCCUACACCACCUGAGCCUCACAUUGAUCAUCCAGUAGCCAAGAGUUCCGGAGGACUAUGUCCAUCUAGCAUGCUACUAUAAUGAUCAUAUCAAUGCCACGACAAAUACUUACGGUGUUUAAAAAGGUACAAGGCGCAAAAAAACACAAAGAUCUUAUUGAGCCUAGGCGCGAGGUGCACCACGAGACGCAGGUCUAAAGUAGGUGAGGCGUAUAUCUAAUAAAAAUAAAACACUCUUAAUAAACCUAUUUUAAAUAAAUAUUUUAUAUUAAAAAGUUCUAAAAUAGCUUUACAAUAACAAAAUAACCAUAAAAAAGUAAAGAAACUACAUUCAUAAAAUAUUUUCAGCUGUAAAGAAAAAAUUAUGUUUCAACUUUUAAUUUAAAAGUGCUUGCUACUACUUCUUGCUUCUUACCGUCGCUACUUAGUGCCAUUGGGGAGUGAAAAAGAAAACAACCAAGAGAAAGGAAAAGAAAGCGUUUGAAUUUGAAAUUUUUUUAAACAAAUUUUUUAACGUUUUAAAAUAUAUUCAAGAAACUCAAUCCAAAAAUCCAAAGCAUUGACAUAUUAAAAGUAAAUAUUAUGAGGUGCGUCUGGGGUGCACGCCUCACUCCCUGAGGCGCUGAGACUCGCGCCUACGCUGAGCCAUGCACCUCCUUUUCAAACACCGAGUACUUAAUAUAUAUAUAUAUAUAUAUAUAUAUAUAUAUAAGCAUGAAGCGUUGGUAUGAAAAGAUGGUAUUAAUACAUAGGUAUGCAAACCUCAAAGAACAACCGUACCGAGACCACAAUAACUAAUAUCAAGUAAAGGGGAAGUUAGGCAAGGUUAAGCAAAUUGGGUGUCGCUAAACCCACUUCAGAAAGUGCACCAACCUGACAAUAUUCAUGGGAUGUCGACAGCUUAUGCUCAACUCCUCAAACCCCACUCUCUGUAAAGUUUCAAGGAUUUGGAGGCUGAGUUCCAGAACUUGGUGCUGAGGUUCUGAAAGAAGAACCAGGUUUCGGAACCUAUCAUCAAGUUUCACAUAACCAGUACUCUCUACCUGCACUGCUACACUGGAUGGCUCAAGAACAACAUCUCUGGUUCCAAAACCAAGUCCCAUACGACUUUUCCAGCAGUGCCAACUUCACAUCUUUUGUGGAAUUGCCACACGAGAACCAAGUCCCAUACGACUUUUCCAGCAGUGCCAACUUCACAUCUUUUGUGGAAUUGCCGCACGAAUUCAACUAGAAUCCACUCCCAACCUCUCAACACGAUAGAGAUAGCGGGAGUUUGAGAAAACAAGAAACCACGAUCAAUUUCGCAAAACAAACAUUCAAAAACGAAGUCGACAAUUUUCCAAUACGACCAACAAAACUUCCAAAGAGUCCACUUAAAAUGCCCAAGAAAACCAAUGUACUCAAAAUCAAGUUUAAAUACUCAUCAAUCUUGGGGAUUCAUGGAAAAUAGUUUUAAGAAAAAUCAAGAGUUACUAGGACCUUUCUUCGAGAAUAAGGUAAAACCUCUCCAAAACUCGUAAAACCUAAAUACCCUAAUGCUUAAAGCAAGAAACUCUUGUGCUGAACCCUAGAUACUUAUAUCACCUACAAGUUAUACUGUUGCUACAAAUUGUUUAAUUUGAUUACAUACAAUUAAAAAUGAAAUUUUUAAAUUUUCUCAAUUUAUACAUAAAAUAGUAGAACGAUCCACAAUGCAUUGAAUAAGAAAACAAACGAAAAUAUUGUGGCACGCAUUGAAUAAGAAAACAAAAUCGUAAAAUAGGAAAUGCCUUCAAACUAAUUAUACAUUCCCUUCCGAGCGCUGUCCUUUGAUGACCCAUUUAAUUUAAUGUUUAAGGACAUACAUGGCACCGUCGGCCCUAAUCAAACAAGCUACAAUUCUCUCUUCUUCUCCUCCUCUCCCUAAUCAAACAAGCUGAAGCCCAUAUCGUCGUCGCUCUCUUCCUUGGGCUCCUCCUGCGGAAAAGAAACCAACAAUAAAUAAAUAAAUAAAUAAAUAAAUAAAACAAAAUAUAUAUAAAAAAAAUCAGAAAGUAAGAGUUGAAAAAAAAAGAAAAAAAAAACAAAGGCAACCUUCUUCUCCUCGGCCGCUGGGGCGGCAGCAGGAGCAGCGGCGGCACCAGCACCGCCGGCCGGAGCAGCGGAAACGGCAACUGCAGCGCCGCCUCCGCCUGCAAAACCAUCAGCAAAAGCGUAAAUACAUGAAGAAAGCCAAACAAUAAACAGAGAGAAAAAAGAAGAAGAAGGGUAAGAGAGAGUAGUAGUAGAAUAAGUAGUAGUAGGAGAUAGAGAACCAGAUCCGACGCUCAAGAUGAGAUCGUCGAUGUUCCUCUUCUGAAGGAGCUUGGCGAAGAGCGCGGGCCAGUACGAAUCGAUCUUCAAGUUCGACGCCUUCACAAUGGUCGCGAUCUUCUCCGCCUGCUUAACGUUCCAGAUCCAAGUCAAGUAAAGUUUGUUUUUUUUUAAAAAAAAAAGAGAUUAAAAGAGAGAGAGAGAGAGAGAGAGAGAGAGAAAGAGGAGGAGAAGAGGACCGAUUACCGUGAUUGGGAUGCCAUCUUCGUGGAGGAUGAGCGCGGCGUAGGUGCAGGCAAGCUCUCCGAUCGCAGCCAUGCUCGGAUGGGGAGAUCGAUGAAGACGCCACCAAAGAAUUAGGGUUUUCUGAGCUGCGGCGCCCCAAGGAGAUCCUUUUAUACCGCGGGAUCGGGUAAUGCUUAGGGAUGCCGAUGGUUAAGGAUAUAUAUAGGAUAGGGCUACUAUACUAAUAUAUGAGUAUAGAGUCAUUUAUACUCAUAAGUUAUUUUUAAUGAUGGAUCUUCCGAAUCGACGAUCUACUCCGUUAAAUAUAAUCUACAGUAUUUAAAACUUUUAGAAAAUAAAUUUCGUAAUUUUUCGAAAUCAUAAUAAAGUUCAUCAAGCGGGUAUAAAAUAAACGGUCAAAAUCGAACGACGUCUUAAAAAUGGAUGAUCAGAUCCUUCAAUUUAAGAUCGGAGUUAUUGAUCUUUAUCUAUGUAGUGAAUAAAAUUUUCUAUCAAAAAUUCAAUCGAUUUCGAUUCUUUUACACCGUUAAACUAACAAAUAUUUCAUACCGGUCAUUAAAAAUUGUCAAUUUUGUGACCUUUUGAUCAUAAGGUAAAUGAUGUCGAAAAAUUAUAAAAUUUGAUUUCUAGACAUUUCAAAUGCUCUAGAUAACGUUUAACGGUGUGGAUCGUCGAUUCCGAAGCUCUAUCAUCGAAAACAACUUAUGAGUACGAGAGCGAUCGUACUCAUAAGAGUAUAGUUGUAGCAUACUGAACUUCUAAGGUUAUGAAGUUACGGUGUAUGCUAGCUCGGAAAGUCAUUGGAAUGGUUCCGGUGAAGUUCGGAAGCAUUCGGGUGUUUUCGGUACACGUAGGGCGCGAAGACGGAACCCGAAAAGCUAUAUUGAACCGUGGACUAAAUUCGACAUAAGCGUGGAUGAAAAGAUGAUAUAAAUACGCUCAAAAACAUAUUUUUGGGGUCUCGGUACGAUUAGAAGUGAAUCGAAAAUCUACGGAGCGAAAACGGAUCAAAACGGAGCGAAAUCGGCAACUGCUGAAAUUUGCAUAUUUUUGGGACCUACGGGGUCCGGACCAUGAAUCCAAAGUCCGGACCUGAGAGCGAAAAACGCCCAGUUUGGGCAGUGCAUGAAUGGGAGAGUUGAGGGAGUUUUCAGCAUUUUGUGCAAAUGGGAUUAAAAAAGAGGGUUGCUUCUCUCUCUCUUUUCCUCUCAUUUCUCUCAAACCCAACCCAAACACUUCCCUCUCUCUCUCUCUCUAAGCCUCCUCAUCCUCUCUCUUCAAGGAGGAGAGCAAAAGAAGGAGAAGAAGGAGAAGAAGCUUGAAGGAAGGCUCUCCAUCUUCUCCUUCUUCUUCUUCCUUGGCCAUUGGAGCUAGCUCUUGAGGUAAGCUUUUAGGGCUUCAAUGGUAGAAUUCUAGGGCUUAAAUCUUUUGCUCUAAGAAUGGUUUUAGAUGAAUCCUAGGAUGCCAAAUAGAUACUUAUUGCUUGAAUCUAGAGAUUUAACAGUAUAUUCUUGCAAUAGUUGCAUCUAGGGCUUCAAAAAGGGGGUUUUGCAAAAUAUGGGGGUUUGAUCUAGAUUAACCCUAUGUAAACCUAAUUGUUAGGUUUUCUGACGCGUUGGCGAAGUCGGUUCGGCGAUUCGUCGAGCCUACGCUAAGAUAUUGAAGAAACGGACGAUUUGGCUUCGUUUCCGCCUAGAGGGCCGAGGCGACGUCCAAAAAUCACGAGAACGGAUCCCAAGCGUCGUGGCAUCAAGUUAUAGACCUAUAAAAUUCGGGGCCGCGAAUUGACGCACGGUUGAUGACUAAUUGCAAGAUCGGGCCGAACUGGACGGCGUGUGCCGCGGGAGGCCGAUUACAAGUGUCGACAAGCAAUCGGAACGCGAUAAUAGGUGGGUUGUGCUUACCGAAGCGACUAGGUCGCCUCCAUGUCAAAGUGGAGUAUGAAUUCGUAUUGAUACAUAUAAUGGUAGUUUGUAGCAUUGUAAAUGCAUGUGAUAGAUGCUAAAAAUGUAUAAACUGCCAUUAGAUGAUGACAUAGUCAUGAGCAUGAAAUGCUAGAGAACAUAUGCAUGUAAAGAUAGUUAAUUGCAUAGAUGAUAAUUGCAUGUUGAUAUGUUGAAAUACAUGCUAGGAAAUUGCAUGAUCACAUAGUCUAAAAAUGCUAAAUGAAAUGCAUGAUUGCAUGUUCAUAUAUAUGCAUAGUGGAAUAAAUGCUAGGUGCAUUUUAGAGGUGCAUUUUAGAGCUAUGAGAUCGUGUUAGAAAGAACAUACGUUGGCAUUGUAAGCAUGUGCUAGAGAAUAUGUAAUUAUAAAACUCGAUGUGGACAAUUAGGAUGUCAAGUAGAUCGAGUGGCAUUAAACCUAGUGCUGUGAACCUAGGAUGGAUGAGAAUGACAUAUGAACCUAGUGUUGUUAAACAUAGGUUGGUAUCAAACCUAGUAUUGUUGAACAUAGGUGAAUCAUGAGUGGCAUUAAACCUAGUGUUAAAGAAUAUAGGUUGAACAAGUGAACCUAGAGUAAAGAUCUAGGUAGAAUGACAUAGAACCUAGUGUGGCAUCGAACCUAGGUUAUGAUAUGUAGCGAUACCUAGUGUGGGGGAACCUAGGUUGAGGAUAUAGUGGUAGAGUGAUCACUAGGGUGUGCUUGGGUCGAACCUAAAUAGGUCGACAGCAUAGGGUGUGUGUCUACCCUUGAGACUUGGAAAGUGGAUUCCGGAAUCCUAGGACUUAUGGAACACCAGGGGAGAUGUUGGGCGUGUGCGACGAUUUUGCCGCCCGGGGCGAAACCAUUGUUCGGCGUGUGCGACGAUUUCGCCGCUAGAUGGUUAAGCCAGAUUUGUGGAUUAUGCCGCCAGGUGACUUGAGUCAUUGUUCGGCAUGUGCGACGAUUUCGCCACCAGGUGGCUAAGUCACGGAGCGCGGUAGGCUGUGGGUACAGCAGAUUGCGCAGUAUUCCGCGUAGGAUUGACUCAGGGCAGAGUCGGGUGGCUAGCUGGAUUAAGGUAGAUGAAACCUUAAGGGCUAGUGGUAGAUGAAAUGGAUUUAAGGUAGUAGAAACCUUAGAAGCUAGUUGGACAUGAGCUAGAUAGCGAGAUGGAAAGUAGUAUCGGGUGAUCUACUAGUUUAUGCGUUAAUUGCAGGGUUGCAUAAGUAUGUCAUUGCAUAGUUGGCAUUACUGCAUAUGUGAGGCAAAGCAUGUAAAUGUUAGUUACAUAUUUAUGAUAUUAUAUCUAUCUGUUGAAUUAACAUAUUGUUUGCCUCCUUUGGACCUGUUGGUUGAGCUUUUCCCUUGGGUGGCCGUACCCACUAGAAACUAUGGAGUUAGUUCUCACCCCACGUUGUUUCGGGGUGUUACAGGUUCGCACAUGAGCGACGCGGUGGCGCGAGGCAAGGGCGUAGCUUCGUAGAUAGCACCCUACUUGUAAGGAUUGAGAUUUUGACAGUACAAUUAGACUCUCUGUUGACGAUGUUUAUGUGUGUAAUUUAAUUACAUAAGCACUCGUCAAAUUUCAGGCGAAAAUGAGCUAAAACGGAGAAGUUACGCGAUUAUUAGUUUUCACUUAAGUGAAUAGUAACUCCGAUUUUCCGGAGAAGCCACGGAGUAGAGUUGGCUUUCGGCGCGUAUCGGACUCCGUUCAUAGCGAUCCAAUAGCUCGUUUCAAUCGGUUCAGCUAUUCUGGAACCAAUGGCACUGACGGAUUUCAGAUCCGAUGCACGAUUUUCGAGAAAAAGGGAUUUUAUCAAAAAGAGGGUUUCUGAUCAUUGCUAUUCGUGCAUUUUGAAACUCCUCGUGCUUUGUACAAGUGAUCUGGAGAUGGGUGAGAGAUGUUUCAAGUACCUACUGGUGGUAGGGAAUUCAAAUACGAGUUUGAAUUAACGGAUUUCGGGUUUCAACCUAGGCCUAUAUAUGAUAUGUGGAUUAGUUGGAGAGAGGGCAGGUUUUGUCGCUGAUCGGAGACCAAAUCAGACGAAACAAAAUGCUAGGUUCGAUGCACCCGACGUGCUGAACGCAAUGGUGCUGUCGGAUCGAAAAUCCGACGAACGGAUUUUCAGGAAACGCGAAAUGUUCGCUGAGGGUCGAAUUUGCAAAGUCACAACUUUGCAAAAUUGCGAUAUUUUAUGGUACCGGGAAUCGCGUGACAAAUCGACUGCGGGUUCCGCGUCGAUUUUACGAUUCACUCUGUAGGUACUUGAUAGAAUUGUUAGUCUUGAGACUAUUUUGCAAUUGACGCUAUGUAAAUAGUAUACAACUAGGUUUCAUGAGGAAACCCUAGCUUUUGCAUUCCCUCACUUAGCCGAACUAACCUAGCCGCCCCACUGCAAUCGACCUUCCCCCAUGCGCAUGCUCCGGCCGCUGCCGCGAUACCUUCGAUCAGCCGAAUUCCCUGCACCAUGCGACCUCUCUCUCUCCUUCUCGGCCAAUCACUCCCGCCCGUGGUACGAACACAGGAAGUCUACCUAGUCGAGCACCAUCAUCCCUGCAGAGACCAACCCGGCAAACAACGUCGCCGCACGAUCCUGCCGUCUGGCCGCGUCGCCGACACAGCAGAGCUAGCUGCGUCACCUGGCCACACCCUGGCCGGACCGACUGCAGCUCGUGCCUGUUGAUUCUGAGCCGGCCCUAGAUUGGCCGCCCAGACUUCCCCGCCUCCUGGCGACCUCUCGGCGCAUCUCCCCCGUCGCCCCGCGCACCUCUCCGCGCUCGCUUCGCUUCCUGCAGCUCUUCCAGACCGACGGCGCCGAGUCUGGGCUCGGCUACACCGACCUCCGCGCGCACGCCGCGCCACUGACUCGGACGCCUGCCGACCUUGGACCUCCGCGAAUCUUCCCGCGCCUGAGCCGGGUGUUGUUUUGUUUUAUGUUUGUGCGCUGUGAUACGCUCAGUGCGCCUCUACCGCGGGUUUCCCGCGUCCCGAACCAACGCCGCCGCCGACGCUGAAGCCUCCAGCCUGCAGACCUGCAGCGAGGUCGGCCCGCCACGGCUUUUCUAUAGCUCGCCUGCUGCCCACCUGGGGUGACACCUCUCCCCUCGACCUUAGGCUGACGAACUCAUCUCCGGCCGCCGGCUCCCGGCCUGCGCUUCACCCUGCAGCUGUGCUCCUUUGAACCCAAAGGAACUUGGCGAACCUUGAAUCUCGCCGCCGCCGCCAAGCCGGCACUCCCGCGCCGGCCAGCUUGUCGUUUUUGUCUUGCAUCGGACCCCUUCGACUGCCGCCCUUCCCGGCCGACCCCCGCCGUACGGCACCGCCGCCAUCUGCCCUAGUCCUUCCAACUCGCGUAAGCUUUAGUUUAAGUUUUUCAACACACUGUUUAUGGUUCGGAUCCACCGGUUCCAGCGAUCCGAUAGCACUCCGAUCUACUUGGAGGUGAUCAUGAGAUACUCGAGUGUAUGAGGAUCAUCGUUAUCACCUCCGUAGGUCAGGCGAUGCGCGCUGUUUGCGUGCAUAGACGCGAAAAUUUUUAGUAUACAUCGCGCUGUUUCGUAAGUUCGCUCAUGCGCUAGCGCCCUCUUCACAGUGGCCGAAUGUCCAAACGUUUUGAGCUACCGCCCCGGCCCCUGCUCAGACCUGUCAUAAGGUGGUCUUCGGUUGGCUCGAUGCACUCUGUUUGUGUAGACACUGGGCCAUAAAAGCGCUUGAAUCGAAUGAAAUAUCGAUUUUCGGUUAAUAGGAGGCUUUUUAAGCAAAUUUUUGAUUUGUCGUAGCUCUGUUGGCAGCAUGGUGAACUGGGUGACCUCUAGCCUUGAUUUGUCAAGGCCUCCGACCUUUGACGAAGACGAAAUUGUAUUUCUCGUUCUUUUGUCGGCAAAAUCCGCAAGACGGACCGUUUUGUUCGAAUGUAAUUCGCGGUGGCUUUCGUGAGCUAUUUGUGUGGAUCACUGAGCCUUAUUGGCUGGUCACUUCUGCAUCAUUCGUAGAGUCUCAGAAAUGACGGGUGAGUCGACGGUUGGUCGGUGUUCGAACAUAUACACUUUUCGUGUAACCCGCUCGGAUCCCAACAAUUUCCACCAAUAGUUGUUUCGUUUUGUAUCCUUGUUUUGCUGCCUUUAGUCCAUCUUAAAAUACAGUGUUGUGCAGCAUGAAUGAUCGUGCAUUGAGUCGUGCCUUCCGGGAUAGUAGUGGGUUCCCGUGUGAAGUCCCGGUGUCGAUUUCUCGGACUUCCGGCGAGUCACGCUAAUCCCGGUAUUAGGAAACCGAUCCCUGUGGGAUGCUGUAGGUUAUGCCUUUGUAGGUUUCAUUAUUGUGUGUUUAGACACUAAACCUCAGUGGAGCCCUCCUUUAGGUCCGUUGAACAUUCUCUUGACAGUCAGAGCGAAGCGCAGACAGUUUACGCAGGUUGUACUUCGAUCCGACGUCGGUACUUAGUGUGCCGCUCCGUGAUCAUUUCUCUAUCCUUGUUUCCUGCUGUUUAUUACUAUUGCGUAGUGUACGGCUUAUGAGCCCUUGCACCUCCAUUGUCUACAUCUUACUUCUACUCAUUUGUUUGCAGAUUUAUUCUGAAUAGGAGUAGAGUAUUUAUACAUAUUUCUUGUUCCUACUUGACCUGUUUUCUACGAUACUUUUGUCAUGUUAUAGUAGAACGGUUCCCUGAUUUAUUCGUGAGAUCAGUGAACCUAGGCGGCUCCGAUUCUUAGUUAUCAUACUGUCGACUUAUUCGCUGAUUCCUUGACUUUUGUCCGAGUACCUUUUGAGUCGUUGUAUCCGCUCGAGGGUAGAUUUCGCUAUGCCGAUCGUGAUGUUCUAGAUUAUACUACCAGAUUAUUUGUUGAUCGCUUCUUGCAUAUAUAUACCUACUUUUGACCUAAUUAUCAGUAUCUACAACUUUUGAUAGAUGUUAUGUUUCAUCCUAGUUACCUGAGUGGUCCGUUCUUCUUGUGCUUCUUUUAUCCAGUCGGAUGAUCUAAUACUUGUCGUAGGCCCUGUGGUCGAGGAUUGUCGGCUGGUUGCCCGUAUGGUUAGCCUUUGAGGCAUAUCAGUCAUGGAUUGCGCCGAACUCUUCUCAUUUUCACGAAUACUGUGCUUCUGAUCCACCGCAAGGGGUUUCUUUUUUCCGAAAAAGUGUUGUUGUGUCAACUUGCUGAGCCCAGCGGUCAGACCUAGUUUAUAUUCAGGUAAUUUUAGUGGCUUUUGCCUGAGGUCCUUAGACCGACACGGCGGUUUAGAUUGGGUAUUUUGGACUUCUUGUUCGGUUGACGCAUACGUCUAUAGUAGCAGUUGUUGCAUGCAUAUUUACAGUUCUUUCUAUAUACUUGUUUUGCUACUAUAGUUUGAUACCCGGAUAUGUUUUAUAUUCUUCUUUACAGUAGCGGUAGUCGUUCUUAUACAUUCUGUUCAUAUAUUAUUGUUGCUACUGUAUUUAGCAUAUCUGCCCUUGUUGUUAUUUAUCUCUUCCUGAUCCGGUGAGUACUUCUCGCCUUCUUCGGCUUGCGGUACCCACUGGGAGGGGAGACAUGUUUACAUGUUCUCACCUCCCCCACCAUUUUUCAGGUAUCGCGGGCGAUGAGUAGUGGGACGAGACGUGAGGUACGUGUGUAGCGGUCGAUAGAGCUUCCGACCCAGGUUAUUUCGAUUUAGUUAUUACCCUUAUUAUUCUGUUGAUAUAUAGCUUAGUCGGUUUACAUGGUUCAGUUUUGUUUUAUUAUCUGAAUAUCUGAGUUUUCAGUUGGUUUUGGAAUAUAUUAAAGGAAUUGUGUUUUUUUGAAAAAUAAAAGGUUUUCUACCCCUCGUGGUAGCGUUUUUAAAAGAUAAAAGUUUCCGUGUAGGGAACAGUUUUCAAAAGAUUUUCUGUGGCUUUGUAUCUUAGUAUUUCAAAACUUGUUUCCGGGUAGGAAACGUUUCAAAUGAUAGAUCUUGAUUUAUGUUUAAAACUAUGAAUACCGUCGUGUUGUGAAUGGUGAAUGUAUGGACGUCUGUAUGUGCGGUUGAGGUUGUAUGUUCAUAUGGUUGUGGUUGUAUUCUGGUUGUACUUUGGUUAUAUAAUUGUACUUGUGCGACGCCGUGCAAAUACAGGGGAGACUCUGUCCGUGUGAACAGUGGAUUCCUUGUAUUUGUGGCGGAUCUGACAUACUCUGGGGUCAGGUGUUUCAAAAAAAAAAUUUAGUCGUUUCCGCUGUUUUUCCAAACUAAAAAGGGACCCCGGGGCGUAACACUACCCUAGAGACCUGAGAUAGCAGUAUCCCGAGUCGGCAUAACCUAGGGGUCUAGAAAAUGAAAAGAACAAAAUGUAUCUAAAUUGUAAAAAUUGUAAUAACUUAGAUUGUAUUUGGAAGAAAGUAAACUUGUAAAAUGUAUGAAGGUGAAUGCUUGUAAUAAUUUAGGUGUUUAUGUUUUUGAUACUUCCUUAUGCAAUCUUUGCUUGAAUACUAUUCUUAGUUGGAACUUCGUGUAUUAUAUUGAUUGCGACGUCUAGAACGUACAGGGGAAACUCUGUCCGUUCGGUGGUCUGUCGGCAUGCCCGAAUCCGACCAAAUAGGCGGGUCGCGGUGCGUGACAAUAGUAGCCGGACUCUAUAUAUAUAGAGAGCUAGGCUGGAAUACGACUGAUAGUAAAAGGCCCUUUUUGCUAUCAAGUUUUUAACCCUUGGAUGAGAAAUUGUACGGUUAGGGUGAUAUUAGUCCCUUAGGGUUGAGUGGUCCUCACUGGGUUAUAAUAUUUAAUCCAAUGGUUAGAAAUUAUGAAAGGAAUUGAUCUAAAAGCUAAAAACUUGAUAGCAAAAAGGGUCUUUUGCUAUUAAUAGUAUUCUAACCCAACUCUCUCUCUCUCUAUAUAUAUAUAUAUUGGAGUCCGGCUACUAUACUCUUAUGAGUACGAUCGCCCUCGUACUCAUAAGUCAUUUUCGAUGAUAGAAUUUCCGAAUCGACGAUCCAUGCCGUCAAAUGUUAUCUUGAGCAUUUAAAACUUUUAUAAAUCAAAUCUUAUAAUUUUUUGACAUCAUUUGCCUUACGGUCAAAGGGUCACAAAAUUGACAAUUUUUAACGGUCGGUAUGGAAUACUUGCUAGUUUAACGGUGUAAAAGAAUUGGAAUUGGUUGAAUUUUUAAUAGAAAAUUCUAUUCACUACCUAGAUAAAGAUCAAUAACUCCGAUCUUAAAUUGAAGGAUCUAAUCAUCUAUUUUUAGGACGUUGUUCGAUUUCGACUGUUUAUUUUAUGCCCGUUUGAUGAACUUUAUUAUUAUUUCGAAAAAUUACGAAUUUAUUUUCUAGAAAUUUCAAAUGCUCUAGAUCAUAUUUAAUAGAGUGGAUCGUCGAUUCGAAAGCUCCAUCAUCGAAAACAACUUAUGAGUACGAAGUACUCUAUACUCAUAAUAGUAUAAUAGCCCUACUAUAUAUAUUGGACUAUAUAUUUUUUUAAUAGCAAGUGAAGAAAUAUAUAGUACAAUAGAUAAUGAUCAUCAAAGAUAAAAGGGUUCAUACUUUCCGGGAACCCUUAGGUACCCGGUUAAUUACGCCCUUUUUAUUCAUACGGGCCACCUCCGAUUAAGCUGGUCAUAAAAAUAAAAUACCCUCUUUUAAUAAUAAUCUUAUUUAUUACUUUUUUUAAUAAUAAUAAUAGUAGCAAUAGAUGCCAACUAGGUGCUCAUCAUAUACUUUUAACAUAUACAUACACACAUACAUAUAUAACUACAUAUACAUAUACAUACAUACAUACAUACAUAUAUAUAUAUAUAUAUAUAUAUAUAUAUAUAGAGAGAGAGAGAGAGAGAGAGAGAGAGAGAGAGAGAGAGAGAGAGAGAGAGAGAGAGAGUUGGACUGGGCUACUAUUAGUAGCAAAAUCUCAUUGUUGCUACCAGUUUUUUAGCCUUUGGAUCAACUCUUUUUAUUAUUUCUAACCAUUGGAUUAAAUAAUAUAACCCAGUGGGGACCACUCAACCCUAGGGGGACCAUUCAACUCUAACCGACUAAUAUCAUCCUGACCCUACAAUUUUUCAUCCAAGAGUUAAAAACUUGAUAGCAAAAAGAGCGUUUUACUAUUAAUAGUAUUCCAGUCUAAUUCUAUAUAUAUAUAAUAUAAUAUAUAUUAUAUAAUAUAAUAUAUAUAUAUAUAUUUAUAUAUAUAUAUAUAUAUAUAUAUAUAGGGCUGCUGUGCUCUAAGAGCAAGAGCAGCAGCAGCCGCUGGUGCUAUUAAACUUCCACCCUCCAUCAUGAUAGAUGAGGGCUGAGAUUUAAAGCCACCCAACAAUGGUUCCACUUUUAUCAGUGUUAGAAUUAACGGAUUAAUCACAGCAUCUUUCUCUCUCAUCUUUUCUUACUUUUCUUUUUUUCUUAUUCUAUUCUCUCUUCCCCAACUCCUUCCUCUCCUCUUCCAUCCUCUACUGUGGAUCCCUUCUCCCUGUGGAUCUCGUCGCCGCCGCUGCCACGCUGAGAAGAAAUCGCCCUUCGCAAAGGCACGCGCCCUCCGCCCCUCUCUCGAUCUACCCCCUCUUGAAGCUACCCUCGCCACCUUGCAUGAACCACCACCCCGCCGCCUUCGCCUGAAACGCCGCGCACUCACCCACCCCCGCACGUCAUGCCUGAACGCAUCCGAGCGCGCCCCAUCCACCCCUACGCACAACGCCUUUUGUAUCGCACCCCCUGCUGACCCGAGCGAACCUCACCACCCGGCCCCGCCCCCCCCCCCGGCACACUGGCGACCCGCUCCGCCUGAAGCAUCCCCUACACAAAAAAUAGAAAAAAAAAUAAGAAAAAUAAAGGCUUGAAGCCACCUUCCCUUAAAACCAAUAAAAAAAAUCCGUAAUGCAAUUUUUUUCCAACUUAAUAUACCGUCUACCUGCUGCACGCCCACCUGAAGCAUUCUCCUCCCUCCAAUCCAACCCAACCCAACCCAACACACAAAAAAUAGAAAAAAUCAAAGAAAGAAGAAAAAAAAACUGCCUGAAGCCACCCUUCCACAAAACCAAAAAGAAAAAUUAAGUUUCUAAUGCAAUUUUUUUCUAUUUUUUUUUAACUUAAUAUACUAAUUAACAGUUAUCUGAAUGCAGGUUAUCUGAAAUUAAUAGCACAAAAU
rnacentral:lncRNA from 1 species